CCUGGUUGAUCCUGCCAGUAAUCAUAUGCUUGUCUCAAAGAUUAAGCCAUGCAUGUCUAAGUACAUGCCGAAAUAAGGCGAAACCGCGAAUGGCUCAUUAAAUCAGUUAUGGUUCCUUAGAUCGUUUCUUCCUACUUGGAUAACUGUGGCAAUUCUAGAGCUAAUACAUGCAGUGAGCCUGGAGCCCUUUGGGUAACGGGUGCUUUUAUUAGACCAAGAUCGAUCGGGUUUCGGCCCGUAUUGUGUGGUGACUCUGGAUAACUUUGUGCUGAUCGCAUGGCCACGAGCCGGCGACGUUUCUUUCAAGUGUCUGCCUUAUCAACUUUCGAUGGUAGGUUACUUGCUUACCAUGGUUGUUACGGGUAACGGAGAAUCAGGGUUCGAUUCCGGAGAGGGAGCCUGAGAAACGGCUACCACAUCCAAGGAAGGCAGCGGCGCGCAAAUUACCCACUCCCGGCACGGGGAGUGACGAAAAAUAACAAUACGGGACUCUUUUGAGGCCCCGUAAUUGAAAUGAGUACACUCUAAAUCCUUUAACGAGGAUCAAUUGGAGGGCAAGUCUGGUGCCAGCAGCCGCGGUAAUUCCAGCUCCAAUAGCGUAUACUAAAGCUGCUGCGGUUAAAAAGCUCGUAGUUGGAUCUCAGUUCCAGACGAGUAGUGCAUCUACCCGAUGCGACGGCUCGGACUGAACAUCAUGCCGGUUCUUUCUUGGUGCACUUCAUUGUGUGCCUCGAGAUGGCCGGUGCUUUUACUUUGAAAAAAUUAGAGUGCUCAACGCAGGCGAGUCGCCUGAAUAAACUUGCAUGGAAUAAUAGAACAAGACCUCGUUUCUGUUCUGUUGGUUUUUGGAAUACGAGGUAAUGAUUAAGAGGGACGGACGGGGGCAUUCGUAUUGCGGCGCUAGAGGUGAAAUUCUUGGACCGUCGCAAGACGAACUACUGCGAAAGCAUUUGCCAAGAAUGUUUUCAUUGAUCAAGAACGAAAGUCAGAGGUUCGAAGGCGAUCAGAUACCGCCCUAGUUCUGACCAUAAACGAUGCCAACCAGCGAUCCGCCUGAGUUACUCAAAUGACUCGGCGGGCAGCUUCCGGGAAACCAAAGUAUUUGGGUUCCGGGGGAAGUAUGGUUGCAAAGCUGAAACUUAAAGGAAUUGACGGAAGGGCACCACCAGGAGUGGAGCCUGCGGCUUAAUUUGACUCAACACGGGAAAACUUACCCGGCCCGGACACUGGGAGGAUUGACAGAUUGAGAGCUCUUUCUUGAUUCGGUGGAUGGUGGUGCAUGGCCGUUCUUAGUUGGUGGAGCGAUUUGUCUGGUUAAUUCCGAUAACGAACGAGACUCUAGCCUAUUAAAUAGGUGCGGGGUUCCCAGCACCUUACAACCUUCUUAGAGGGACAAGCGGCUCCUAGCCGCACGAAACAGAGCAAUAACAGGUCUGUGAUGCCCUUAGAUGUCCGGGGCCGCACGCGCGCUACACUGAAGGAAGCAGCGUGUCUUUAUCCCUGUCUGAAAAGACUGGGUAACCCGUGGAACUUCUUUCGUGAUUGGGAUAGGGGCUUGCAAUUGUUCCCCUUGAACGAGGAAUUCCCAGUAAGCGCGAGUCAUAAGCUCGCGUUGAUUACGUCCCUGCCCUUUGUACACACCGCCCGUCGCUACUACCGAUUGAAUGAUUUAGUGAGGUCUUCGGACCGAUGUCCGGCGCGGCCUUUCGGUUGCGCCGGUCUGUUGGAAAGAUGACCAAACUUGAUCAUUUAGAGGAAGUAAAAGUCGUAACAAGGUUUCCGUAGGUGAACCUGCGGAAG
rnacentral:rRNA from 1 species